rnacentral:sRNA from 1 species
CUGUCUCAAUGAACAAACAGUACAAGAAAAGAAAAAGAAGCAAAACA